UACGUAGGGCGCAAGCGUUGUCCGGAAUUAUUGGGCGUAAAGAGCUCGUAGGCGGCCUGUCGCGUCUGCUGUGAAAUCCCGGGGCUUAACCCCGGGCGUGCAGUGGAUACGGGCUGGCUGGAGGCAGGCAGGGGAGAACGGAAUUCCCGGUGUAGCGGUGAAAUGCGCAGAUAUCGGGAGGAACACCUGUGGCGAAAGCGGCGCACUGGACCACAACUGACGCUGAGGCGCGAAAGCGUGGGGAGCAAACAGG
rnacentral:rRNA from 1 species